AUUAAGUCAUUAUUUUACUGGUCUGGCCCACUUGAAAUCAAAUUGGGCCAAAUGUGGCCCCUGAACCCAAAUGAGUUUGACAGCCCUGGUUUAAAGCCUCUGAAAACCUAAAUACACAACAGCAGUCUCAUGUGCAUAAUAGACAACAGUAUUAGAAACCAGUUGCAGUCCAAAUUCCAAAUUUAUUUCAUUGUCAUUUAAGUUUUGUAAGAUUUUUAUACAUUUGCGGUGGUUUUACUGCAGAUUUUUUAUACAGCUAAUCCCACAAACACGUCUUCUAAAAACACCCCAAUUAGUUUUCCAAAUUAAUUCACUGUCUGCUGGUAUUUACGUUCUGCCAGUCAGUUUAUCUACCCAUCGAUACUGUCUGUACCCCAUCGUGUCUGUUUUUUAAGCUGGUUCUGGGUACAAAUGCAUGGUUGAUCAUGUUUUAUUAUUCUGAUUCACUGCUUUAUUGUCGAUGCGGCUCCAUUGACCACUGUUGUUUUCUUCUUCAUGCACCGACUGGAAAUGAGCAGGGGUCAUCUGUAGCAUUAAAAAACAUAAUGUCCCCCAGAUUUAGUUCUGCAACUAAAGGGGGGUUUGGUGACAAAUAGCUUAAUUUCUUCAUCUUUCCAUGUAUCACAACCCUGCAAUCUAUACACAUAGUUAAAAUGUACAUAUAAUUAACUCAUUAGUCUAUUACUGUCGUUACUGUUAUCAUUAUUACUAUAUUUAAGGAUAUGUAACAUUUGCAUUUUGACUCAUUAAAAUUGUAGCUAAUGCCACUGGCUAACAUGACAUCAAACAAAUGGGAUCCAAAACAGUUUAACAGUCUGAGAGAUGGUCUAAACCACAGAAUGUGGGGUUUUUGAUCAGGUUUUCUAGUAGCUGUCAAGGUUUAUUUACAUACACUCAGAUUUUUGGGAUCCUGAACAAAACAGACAACACUUACGUGUUUUUCAAAAUAAAUUUCCAGAGGCUCUAAACAAAUUAAGCCCAACUAAUCAUCUAGUUUUUGUAUGAUUCACAGUGCCUCGUCGUCAUGUGGUGAAAUUCAGUAUUUUGGCUUUGCACUGGUGAGAAACGGCAUUUAAGCAGCAAAAAAAAAAAAAAAAAAUCGUUAAUAAUGAAAGUGGAGUUUACAACAAUCGGAAGCUUUGAGUCAUUUCAGUCUUGUAAAUAUGAAUUCUAUAAAUACAAGCAAAAAGCUAUAAUCACUGUGUGAAAAGAUCAAACUGUAGCUGCUUAUUGAUCUGACGAGCAAAGUCAUGAUCAUGCUCAGAUUUUAUUAUUGCAUCCUUUAUUUUUAUGUUUGUUCUUUUGUCGUAGUUAGAGGAUCAGAAGGGAAACCUGGUCGUGGAAAUCUAGACUCACAUUUAAAGGGACAUGAUGCUGUUCUUUAACAUCACUUUGGAAAACCUUUAUCACUGUGUCAUUGUGACGGGGUUCAGUUGACGGCAGAUGCUUUUAUAAAAACUCACAUUUGAUGAACAUUUUUAACUGGAAGAAAACUCCAUGUUUAACUUGUUAGCUAUAACUGCUAACUGUUUAUAAAGUAACGUGUGAGCUAGCUGCGCUCUAGCUCACUGGUUUCUGCAGAUGUCAUACAGUUAGUAUAAGAGGACGAUAAAAACUGUGUAAUUUGCUUAGUUAAAAAAACAAUUCUCAUGUUGUAUCGGUAAUCAUAAUGGGAAAAACACAAAAACUGUGCGGUUUUUAAUAUACAUGUUUUCUCUAUGUGUAACCAGCCUCUGUGUUAGCUGUAGCAGUUAGCUGUAGCUGUUGUUAGCUAUAUCUAAACUGGUUUUACUGAGCAGUGUAGCACCAUAGGUUUAGUUCAUAGCAAACAACUGUGUUAGCUACCUGCUAGCAGUAAUUUAUACAUCUUAAUGGCUUCAACAGAAUACUAGGACUAAAGGUGACUGUAACCUAAUCAGAAAAACACUGAGAAAAAGUUUAUGUACUACCCAGAUAAGCUACAGCUGAGUCAACUAGCUGUUAGCUUCAAAUUACGUAAAAAAAAAAAAAAAAAAAGAAAAAGAGAGAAAAAUAUUGAAAAAAUAAAAAAGCUCUGACAUCUAG